AAAAAAAGCUGUUUUCCUGGCACUAUAGGUCCCGACAGUGCCCCCCUCCCUGGCAUCCUCCCUCCCGCAGUACUGAACUUACCUGAAUGCAGGGCUGAUGUCCUGAAUCCGAAAUCUGAUGCCAAAGUGGGAGAGGGGAUCUUGAGUCUGAAAUAGGGGGCUCCUAGGUCCUCUAGUCUUCUCUCACUGCCUGGGUGUAAGAAGGGAGACCAGAGCAGGACUGGAGGCAGAGAAGACCAGGGAGCUACCCAACAAAGAACCAAAGGGAUUGAGCGUAAAAGAACAGAACUAUUGAAAAUGGUUAAAUGCUGAAAGAAAGGACAGUAGUGAGACUCCAGACACUAUACCUGCAUCAGUGACAAAGCUCUUACAGUGUUUCUUUUAAAGCAGGGGUUUAUAAGGUCC